GAUGAACGCUGGCGGCGUGCCUAAUACAUGCAAGUCGAGCGAACGGACGAGAAGCUUGCUUCACUGAUGUUACCGGCGGACGGGUGAGUAACACGUGGAUAACCUACCUAUAAGACUUGGAUAACUUCGGGAAACCGGAGCUAAUACCGGAUAAUAUUUUGAACCGCAUGGUUCAAAAGUGAAAGACGUUCUUGCUGUCACUUAUAGAUGGAUCCGCGCUGCAUUAGCUAGUUGGUAAGGUAACGGCUUACCAAGGCAACGAUGCAUAGCCGACCUGAGAGGGGGAUCGGCCACACUGGAACUGAGACACGGUCCAGGCUCCUACGGGAGGCAGCAGUAGGGAAUCGUGCGCAAUGGGCGAAAGCCUGACGGAGCAGCGCCGCGUGAGUGAUGAAGGUCUUCGGAUCGUAAAACUCUGUUAUUAGGGAAGAACAUAUGUGUAAGUAACUGUGCACAUCUUGACGGUACCUAAUCAGAAAGCCACGGCUAACUACGUG
rnacentral:rRNA from 1 species